UGCCCAGCAACUCCUAUCCCUACCUCCUCGUGGUACCGGCUGGAAACUAUGAGAAACUAUAGGGAUCCAACCCCGGUGGGAGCUUUGGUCAUAGGCUGACAGGGAAGG
rnacentral:ribozyme from 1 species